rnacentral:misc_RNA from 1 species
UUGUUAUCAUCAUUGCAACAUGUGAGUCAUAUAUCAGUGUCUUCUGAAAUUUGUUUCCUUUACUGAUUUUUGGAAUGUUAGUGUGCGAGAAAACAUGUCAGUUAGCUAUUUUCCACAAUGAAGUGAGGUCUUGUUUUAAAGCAUAUGAAGCUUUGCUAACAUGACUAAUUCUGCUUCUCUUCUUGGUGAAUAAUUGGUCUCGUAUGCUGUGGAUGGAGUCUAAUGACAGUGCUAAAGUCCUAUGAAAACUUUGUUAUUCUCGAACGGGUUUGAAGAAGACAUAGGAUUCAUCAUGCCAUUAAAUUAUGAGUGCUCUCCAAACUUUCCUUUUAGUAGUUUGGGUAAUAAUGUUAUUUUGAAGAACUAAUUUGUCUUGGCCUCCUAUUGAAAAGUGGUGUUAGCUUGACCCUUUAGUUGGGUAAGAUGGUUGUAUUUGUCUGCUUCUGUGUCUGUGCCUGAGAUAAAAAAUAAUAUAUUCAAAUGCAAUUGAUGGUUAGCACUCAGUAAAUAAGUGUGCUUGGGUUUAAUAUACGUUAACUGAUUCAGGCUGAAAGCGUCUUAAGGUUCAAUGCAUGACAUGUGCUUUUACAAAUUUUACUUGCAUAAAUGAUACAGAACCUAAUAAAUUUUGGGCAUUGUGAUAUUUGCAAUCCACAGAUACUGAGAAGAAUUUUGCUUUUCUUUCUACUAAUCCUAUUUUUACAAAGUUCUUUAUGUCUUCAUCACUCUUCGUGACUGAGAUCACUUUUCCCUAGAAUAAUCCAAAUGAGUGUAUUCUGAGUCUUGUGAGCAAUGAAUGUACCCUUUACUGAAAAAAUUAGGUGUAUGUACACGCGCUCUUUUGUGUCUGUAGAGAGAGAGAAUGUGUCCUUGCUACAAACAUUAUUUCUAUAUAUAGUGGGAUUUUCUAAUGCUCCACCCUAAGUUCUUCAUUAAAUUCAAUCAGUUGAAAUAUGUUGAAUUAUUUGCAGUUUGUGUUAAAAUGAAGUGUCUUCUUAGUUUUGAAACUGGUCUUGAACAUUGAAGAAUUUAAGCUUCUUUAAUUGCAUAAUUUUUGAUACUGUUUAUACCAACGGAUAUUUUUUAAUUGAG